rnacentral:rRNA from 1 species
GCCAUUUGGUGGAGACUGUUGCAGCCACCUGGUCCCAGCAGACCCCAGAGGGCAGCCACACUCGCUGGUGAUGCAAUAAGCUCAUUAAAGGUGAAGCCUGGUGCCAGAUGUGU